UAGGGAAUCUUCCGCAAUGGGCGAAAGCUUGACGGAGCAACGCCGCGUGAGUGAUGAAGGUCUUCGGAUCGUAAAACUCUGUUAUUAGGGAAGAACAAAUGUGUAAGUAACUAUGCACGUCUUGACGGUACCUAAUCAGAAAGCCACGGCUAACUACGUGCCAGCAGCCGCGGUAAUACGUAGGUGGCAAGCGUUAUCCGGAAUUAUUGGGCGUAAAGCGCGCGUAGGCGGUUUUUUAAGUCUGAUGUGAAAGCCCACGGCUCAACCGUGGAGGGUCAUUGGAAACUGGAAAACUUGAGUGCAGAAGAGGAAAGUGGAAUUCCAUGUGUAGCGGUGAAAUGCGCAGAGAUAUGGAGGAACACCAGUGGCGAAGGCGGCUCACUGGCUCGAUACUGACGCUGAGGUGCGAAAGCGUGGGGAGCAAACAGG
rnacentral:rRNA from 1 species